GACUCUGGAAUAUUUAGGAGCGAGGACAUUUCAGGAUAGGAUUUGUUGCACAGGUGACGUCCUAAAACAGCUCCACGCUGGAAAUCACUGAGAGCGGCCCAUUCUUUCACAAAUGUUUAUAGAAACAGUCUCCAUGCCUAUAAGUGCUUGAUUUGAUACAACGGGCCAAGUGAUUAAUCAUUUGGAUGGGUGGCCAAAUACUUUUGUCAAUAUAGUGUACAUACUAAGGAUACAACAUUAAUGCUUUAAAAUAGAAUAAUUUUCACAAGUAGGCCUAUUUUCGGACACGUUUUCCACAAAUGUGACAAAUAAGGCACUUAAACGAUCCUGGUUAGUUGAAUGUUUUCAUUUACGACCUUUUUGCGACGCAAGUCGUCCCUUUACGACAAUAAAUCCCAAAAUGGCUUAAAAAGUCAAUCUGACUUUACUUAUGCAUUUUUGAGUAAAUGUGGGCGUUUAGUCGGAUACUUUUAAAGUGAAAGCCGGCAUUUCAUCAAAUUUUUUACCGCAGCAGUUAUCUGAACUACCCGAAAUGCUUCUUCCUUCCAUCCAUCCAUCCAUCCUUUUUUCUACCGCUUGUUCGCCGGAGCCCACCCCAGCUGCACUCAAUCCACGCAAUUCUGCUGACGUGCAACGGCGGGGAGGUGAUGCCAGUCAGGGGUCGUCGGCCAUAACAUGGAAAGAAAGUUCCAUAAAUACACCAAAACGUCACCUUGGAGUCCGUUUUGCUGAUUGGGGAAGUUGACUUCCGCACCUCGUGGGUCCAUGACGAUGACUUCUGUUUUGUUUGAUCAGCCGCUUUACUGCCGUGUUACAGACACCGUUUGGAGACAAGUGUACGGCCCUCAGUGGAAAAAGUUUGGACACCCCUGCUUUGGAUGAUCGCCUCUCCUUCCAAGCUGAUUUUAGCUUUAAGGUCGUGGAUAUCGACAGCAACACGGAGCCCUUGUGAAGGAAUAAAUCAAUAAAAGAAGAGUGGUAACUUCCUUCCUUCCACAUGCGCCCAUCUUCCUCAACGGUUUUGAUGUCGGGAAGGACUUGACUGCAUUUGGAGGGCCCGCGCCACCAUUUCUUGUUGCUACGGCGCCUUUCUUCUGAAUGGCUAAGCCUUUGCAGAACAACA